CCGGAUGUGGUCACGAAUCCGCAUGGUUUUGUGACUAAAGCUGACCUCUGCUUGCACGUUAGCGCUUGGAGAUGGGCUUGCGGCCCAUUAGCUUGUUGGUGGGGUAAUGGCCUACCAAGGCGACGAUGGGUAGCCGACCUGAGAGGGUGAUCGGCCACAUUGGGACUGAGAUACGGCCCAGACUCCUACGGGAGGCAGCAGUAGGGAAUUUUGCGCAAUGGACGAAAGUCUGACGCAGCGACGCCGCGUGAGCGAUGAAGGUCUCCGGAUUGUAAAGCUCUGUUGAGUGGGAAGAAAACCUUCGGGGACAAUACCCUCGGAGCUUGACGGUACCACUCGAGGGAAGCCCCGGCUAACUACGUGCCAGCAGCCGCGGUAAUACGUAGGGGGCUAGCGAUGUACCGGAAUCACUGGGCGUAACGGGAGUGUAGGCGGGAAGGAAAGUAAGGAGUUAAAUUCACAGGCUUACCCUGUGGCCUAGCUCUUAAUACUGCCCUUUCUUGAGUAUUGGAAGAGGGUGAUGGAAUUCCAGGUGUACCGGUGGAAUGCGUAGAUAUCUGGAAGAACACCAGUUGCGAAGGCGGUCACCUGGCCCAAUACUGACGCUGAGGCUCGAAAGCUAGGGGAGCGAACAGGAUUAGAUACCCUGGUAGUCCUAGCCGUAAACGAUGGAUACUAGUUGCUGGAGGAGUCAAUCCUUUCAGUGACGAAGUUAACGCAUUAAGUAUCCCGCCUGGGGAGUACGCUCGCAAGGGUGAAACUCAAAGGAAUUGACGGGGGCCCGCACAAGCGGUGGAGCAUGUGCUUUAAUUCGAUGCAACGCGAAGAACCUUACCUGGGUUUGACAUGGGAGUGAAAGGAUCCAGAGAUGGAACCCCUUCCGCAAGGAACACUUCACACAGGUGCUGCAUGGUUGUCGUCAGCUCGUGUCGUGAGAUGUUGGGUUAAGUCCCGCAACGAGCGCAACCCCUGCCCUUAGUUGCCAUCAGGUAAAGCUGGGAACUCUAAGGGGCCGCCUGUCGUAAACAGGAGGAAGGUGGGGAUGACGUCAAAUCAUCAUGGCCCUUACGCCCAGGGCUAGACACGUGCUACAAUGGUCGGUACAAUGGGAUGCGAACCUGCGAGGGCAAGCUAAUCCCAGAAAACCGGCCUCAGUCCGGAUUGGAGUCUGCGACUCGACUCCAUGAAGUUGGAAUCGCUAGUAAUCGCGGAUCAGCAUGCCGCGGUGAAUACGUUCCCGGGCCUUGUACACACCGCCCGUCAAGCCAUGGAAGACGGUAGUGCCCGAAGUCG
rnacentral:rRNA from 1 species